AACCAUUUAGUGAUCAAAGUAUUACGAUACUAGACCAUUAAGUGAUCCGGCUUUGAGAGUUUGUCUGCUUAGGAAACUAAACUUUCAGAGUUCAGACAGUAAUAUGAUGAUAUUCUCAAUCAUCCUACUCUAGAAUGUAAUCCAAUUAUUGCCUCCAUAUGAUUUGAGGAUUGUAUUAAUUUUGCGUGUCAACUUCUUAGGACAUAUGAUUUUCUUAUCAACCGUUUACUCCGAAAUUAAUUGUGUAUUCAAUACUUACUAGGAAAUUUGAUUUUUGAUUUUUUUUUAUUUGUUUCUUUUUCCCCUUCUUGUUACAAAUGCCCAUAUAAUUCAUUUGCACGAGUAUACAAACAGGAAACCCAUGGAGCUUCUGGAAGAGUUCCAACUGCUGCUUCAUCUACUCCAUCCACUGCUAACAUGGCUACAAAUCCCAAACUAGAGAAUAAGAAUCCCAAAGUGGAGCAUAAAAAGGUGAUGUCAAUUCCCAACUUUAAUUUGAUGUGUAGUGGUUUUCUUGGAACCUUGGGAAAUAUAAACUAUACUUAUAUAUAAAAUAUGAAAUCUUAUUUCACCGAUACGAGUUCCAUUUUACCUCGAUGUUUUCAGAGACAUUUUGUCCAUUUUAUUUCCAAGUACGAGGUUAUAUUUAGAAAAUGAUGUUACUUUGGUUCUUUGGAUCACAAUUAAUGAUAAAUACAUCUCUGAAUUGCAGAUUGUACCAUGGCAGUCCGGGUAUCUGACACAUGCUCGAAGGGAACAAAGGUACGGCGGCGUGCCUAUUACUUUAUCAAUAUACAAAGUAUUUUUUAAAGGAACGUUACGUGGCCUUUAAAAUCACUGUUGUUCAUGCAACAUAUAUAGUUCCAUAUAUAGGGUAUUAAAUAGUUUGGUCCUAACCAUAUUGGACCUAUAAUGCUUAUUACCAAGGCCAAAUUCAGAGGGUGUUUGAGAUCGCUUAUAGGCAGUCAAACCUGUUUAUAAUAGGUUUUAAGAAUUAGAAAGCGUUUGAUAACCUGAUUUUCAAAAAUAUUUAUAAUUACUUUUUAUGGAAAUAAUCAAAAGUUCCACUUUCGAGCUUCUAAUUAUUUGUCAAAUCUAAUAAUACCAAAUAUAUUAUUAAUCUAUCCAUAUUUAUUUUAGUAAUUCCAUCCAUUGCCCAUCCCUACUUUUCAAAAUUCCUUUUUGGUAAUUCUUAUUUAAGUGUUUAGCAAAAAUAUUUAUAUUCAACACUUUUUGACUUUUUUACUAGUGUAACUGUUUUAUAUUUACGAAAUAUGAACUACUCAUAUUUUUUACACACCCAAACAUACUCAUAGUUUCGUGGCUCGUGUUAAUGUGCGCAUGCACACACACUUAUAUGCACACUACCUCUUUCGAGGCAAACAUAUUACAAUUGGAUUUAUACAAGCUUCUCGUGCAGAAACAAGCUGCCAAGCUGGCGAGGAGAGUAGUCUCGGAAAAAGACGGUAGUAUACUUGUAGUUGGAUGUGUUAAACGGAGGUUCUGUUAAUGGUUAUGUAGUAGCUUCUCAAGAAGGCCCGUGAACAUCAACAAAUUUGGUGUAAUAAAGCAUUCUGGAGUUGAAGAUUAGUAAUUUAAGCAUAAAAAAAUAGAUUUAUGAAACAUAGCUGUGUAAUGACAUUGUGACCUAUAUAGAAAGAGUAAUA
rnacentral:lncRNA from 1 species